rnacentral:rRNA from 1 species
UGUUGAGCUUGACUCUAGUCCGACGUUGUGAAAUGACUUAUGAGGUGUAGCAUAAGUGGGAGGCUUUGCCAACGAUGAAAUACCACUACUCGUAAUGUUGUUUUACUUAUUCCGUGACGUAGAGCUCAGUCUCCGGACUGAUUCUUGAGUGAAGCCGUGCUGCUACGGCGAUCUACGCGGAAGACAUCGUCAGGUGGGGAGUUUGGCUGGGGAGGCACAUCUGUUAAACGAUAAC